rnacentral:lncRNA from 1 species
AGUAUUCCUUUUCCCCAUGGUUCACCCUCAGUCUUAGGACAUAUGUUCCAUGGAAGAAAUGAAGCUUUGAAAUUAGCAAAUUAAAGUUUUGGAAGAGAUUUUACUUUGUUGUCUCUCUUUGCAUGCUGUAUCUGUUCUAGAAGAAAAUCCCUUCUUGAAGCACCAGGAUCCUUAGUGCAUUAUGAUACCUGGAGGUGGUAGAGGUAAGCUGGUGUAGAGCCCACCCAUGGAAUGGCAUUUAUCCACUCCCUUAUGGUAACAACUUG